rnacentral:rRNA from 1 species
AUUGAACGCUGGCGGCAGGCCUAACACAUGCAAGUCGAGCGGAUGAAGGGAGCUUGCUCCUGGAUUCAGCGGCGGACGGGUGAGUAAUGCCUAGGAAUCUGCCUGGUAGUGGGGGAUAACGUCCGGAAACGGGCGCUAAUACCGCGUACGUCCUGAGGGAGAAAGUGGGGGAUCUUCGGACCUCACGCUAUCAGAUGAGCCUAGGUCGGAUUAGCUAGUUGGUGGGGUAAAGGCCUACCAAGGCGACGAUCCGUAACUGGUCUGAGAGGAUGAUCAGUCACACUGGAACUGAGACACGGUCCAGACUCCUACGGGAGGCAGCAGUGGGGAAUAUUGGACAAUGGGCGAAAGCCUGAUCCAGCCAUGCCGCGUGUGUGAAGAAGGUCUUCGGAUUGUAAAGCACUUUAAGUUGGGAGGGAGGGCAGUAAGUUAAUACCUUGCUGUUUUGACGUUACCAACAGAAUAAGCACCGGCUAACUUCGUG